rnacentral:rRNA from 1 species
AUUGAACGCUGGCGGCAGGCCUAACACAUGCAAGUCGAACGGUAACAGGAAGCAGCUUGCUGCUUCGCUGACGAGUGGCGGACGGGUGAGUAAUGUCUGGGAAACUGCCUGAUGGAGGGGGAUAACUACUGGAAACGGUAGCUAAUACCGCAUAACGUCGCAAGACCAAAGAGGGGGACCUUAGGGCCUCUUGCCAUCGGAUGUGCCCAGAUGGGAUUAGCUAGUAGGUGGGGUACCGGCUCACCUAGGCGACGAUCCCUAGCUGGGCUGAGAGGAUGACCAGCCACACUGGAACUGAGACACGGUCCAGACUACUACGGGAGGCAGCAGUGGGGAAUAUUGCACAAUGGGCCCAAGCCUGAUGCAGCCAUGCCGCGUGUAUGAAGAAGGCCUUCGGGUUGUAAAGUACUUUCAGCGGGGAGGAAGGGAGUAAAGUUAAUACCUUUUCUCAUUGACGUUACCCGCAGAAGAAGCACCGGCUAACUCCGUG